GUAUGUAUUACAAAAAAAUUCCACCAGAGCUCCAGUGUCCUCUCUUUCACCCAAUUCACUGCGGAUGGUUGCUACUGCUAUGCAUUGUCUUCGAUUGACUUUUGAUUCCGAUGACUCCAUCGAUCUUCAGAUUUUGGAGCAGCUGGAGAAAGUAACAAGCAAAAGUUGAUUAAGGACAGUGAUCCAUUAUGAAAAGAGCUAUGGCUAGAAUGCGAAAACCGCUUUUACCAAAAUUUGAUUUGAAACGUCAUGCAUUUUCUUAAUCUAUAAUGUUGCAGUGGAUGUCACAAAGUUAAACAGAAACACCCACGAUCAGGUUAUGUUGGAAUUUAGCCCUUGAAUGCAAGGAUGACACACACAAAUCGAGAAAUGGUUCAAUUUUUAUGCCUGGUGCUUGCCUCGAGUUCAGCACAUUGAAGCGCUAGAUACACCAUUUUCAGGGCCUUCCAUUGUUCUUCUAUGUACC